UACAGAGGUCUCAAGCGUUGUUCGGAUUCAUUGGGCGUAAAGGGUGCGUAGGCGGCGCGGUAAGUCGGGUGUGAAAUCUUGGAGCUUAACUCCGAAACUGCAUUCGAUACUGCGGUGCUUGAGGACUGGAGAGGAGACUGGAAUUCAUGGUGUAGCAGUGAAAUGCGUAGAUAUCGUAAGGAAGACCAGUGGCGAAGGCGAAUCUCUGGACAGUUACUGACACUGAGGCACGAAGGCCAGGGGAGCAAACGGG
rnacentral:rRNA from 1 species